GACGAACGCUGGCGGCGUGCCUAAUACAUGCAAGUCGAGCGGACUUUCAAGAAGCUUGCUUUUUGAAAGUUAGCGGCGGACGGGUGAGUAACACGUGGGCAACCUGCCUGUAAGACGGGGAUAACUCCGGGAAACCGGGGCUAAUACCGGAUAAUAUAUUUCUUCGCAUGAAGGAAGGUUGAAAGGCGGCGCAAGCUGCCGCUUGCAGAUGGGCCCGCGGCGCAUUAGCUAGUUGGGGAGGUAACGGCUCACCAAGGCGACGAUGCGUAGCCGACCUGAGAGGGUGAUCGGCCACACUGGGACUGAGACACGGCCCAGACUCCUACGGGAGGCAGCAGUAGGGAAUCUUCCGCAAUGGACGAAAGUCUGACGGAGCAACGCCGCGUGAGCGAAGAAGGUCUUCGGAUCGUAAAGCUCUGUUGUCAGGGAAGAACAAGUACCGUUCGAAUAGGGCGGUACCUUGACGGUACCUGACCAGAAAGCCACGGCUAACUACGUGCCAGCCGCCGCGGUAA
rnacentral:rRNA from 1 species